AUUGUAGUCUGCAACUCGACUACAUGAAGCUGGAAUCGCUAGUAAUCGUAGAUCAGCAUGCUACGGUGAAUACGUUCCCGGGUCUUGUACACACCGCCCGUCACACCACGAGAGUUUGUAACACCCGAAGCCGGUGGAGUAACCUUUUAGGAGCUAGCCGUCGAAGGUGGGACAAAUGAUUGGGGUGAAGUCGUAACAAGGUAGCCGUAUCGGAAGGUGCGGCUGGAUCAC
rnacentral:rRNA from 1 species